GGUUGUAAAGCUCUGUCAGGAGUUAAGAAAUGUAAGUGUGCUAAUACCACAUUUAUUUGACGAAGGCUCCAAAGGAAGCCACGGCUAACUCUGUGCCAGCAGCCGCGGUAAUACAGAGGUGGCAAGCGUUGUUCGGAAUUAUUGGGCGUAAAGAGCACGUAGGUGGGUUUGUAAGUCAGAUGUGAAAGCCUUCUGUUCAACGGAAGAAUUGCAUCUGAAACUGCGAGUCUUGAGUGUAGGAGGGGAGAAUGGAACUUCUGGUGGAGCGGUGAAAUGCGUAGAUAUCAGAAGGAACGCCGGCGGCGAAAGCGAUUCUCUGGCCUAUUACUGACGCUCAGUGUGCGAAAGCUAGGGGAGCAAACGGGAUUAGAUACCCCGGUAGUCCUAGCCGUAAACGAUGGGCACUAAGUAGGGGGAAUUACCGAUGUUCUCUCUGCCGUAGCUAACGCAUUAAGUGCCCCGCCUGGGGAGUACGGCCGCAGGGCUAAAACUCAAAAGAAUUGACGGGGGCUCGCGCAAGCGGUGGAGCAUGUGGCUUAAUUCGAUGCAACGCGAAGAACCUUACCGGGGCUUGACAUGGUAGAAGUAGGAACCCGAAAGGGUAACGAACGGUAUCCAGUCCGUAACUAUCACAGGUGUUGCAUGGCUGUCGUCAGCUCGUGUCGUGAGACGUUGGGUUAAGUCCCCUAAC
rnacentral:rRNA from 1 species